CCGAGAGGGAGCCUGAAAAACGGCUACCACAUCCAANGAAGGCAGCAKGCGCGUAAAUUACCCAAUCCUGAUACAGGGAGGUANUGACANUAAAUAACAAUGCCGGGCCAUCAUUGGUCUGGCAAUUGGAAUGAGAACAAUUUAAAUCCCUUAUCCAGGAUCAAUUGGAGGGCAASUCUGGUGCCAGCA
rnacentral:rRNA from 1 species